GACAUAUGAGGGCUACCAAGUGGAUUAACCAGCUGAUGAAUGUCAAAACAGCCCCAUUUUACCACUGUGGUCUAGACCAUAUCCUCAAAGUGGCAGAAGUUAAUGACCUCAGUGUUGCAAUAUUAUGUGUACAUCUGGCUUCAACAUAUUUUUAUGUGUAACUCAUCAGCAGCGUGCGCAAAGUGUAUUUUAGUGUAUGUACAUUCGAAUGACAGCAAGGCUUGCCAGCAGAGGCAAUAGACAAACCAAUGUAGCUGGCAAAAACUGGCAGGUUGUUGGCAGUGCUGGCGUGUUCAGGUGUGAAGGAGAUGUAACAAACCUUCAGAUGAGUGCGGGCUGAAAACAAUUGACUUCAGCCCUAAUUUAAGCAUGUUACUCAGUUAAGCUAAGAGGAGAAAACAGCUGACAAGUGUAGCAGGUCAGCAAGCUAUGGACAGCCCAAAUGAUGUACCGGCAACAUGUACUAUUUUCUCACAGGGCUGACACUGUUUCGUUCUUCUAGAAAAUGAUAUUGUGUGAGUACCUCACUGUCAGCAGGAUAGCAAGAUUUUUGGCUCUCUCAGUAGCAGAGCUUUCCAGUGUGACUAAUUGUGUAUUUUUUUUUCAAUACAGGCUCUGAAUGCAGAAAGCCAAUGAGAAAGUAAAUCAACAUGAUUAAUUUAAAGGCAGUCCCUUCCCUUUAAGGCGUAUGGCUUGAUAAACAACAGCCCGGUUCAUCGGCACAGGAGUGAAGAACUGCAUGCGGAAAAGGAACGGGGCAGCCCUCCUACCAUAGCUGUGUCCAGAGCUGGCUGUCGCUUCUCCAAACGGAUGAUGGCACCUGAGCCGGUUUGGAAUCUGCAGUCCUCACAAGCUCAGCCAAGUUUUGUAAGCUGAAGAUCUCCAUUUAUCUUUAUUGUGUCAAUUGCUGACAGUGUUUCAAUACGGUGGUAAAAAUCAAAGAGCUGAUGUCCAUCCACAAAUAUUCUAAAACGGGGAUGCUCGCAAAGUAUCUCAACCUGUGAAAAUUAAAAUGAAGCACGUUGUUCACUGUG